UGGCCCGUGGUGUAACGGUAGCACAGCGGCCUUUGGAGCCGUGAGUCCAGGUUCGAAUCCUGGCGGGCCAA
rnacentral:tRNA from 1 species